GGCCAGUGUGGCAUAGUGGUUUGAGUGCUGAACUACAGCUCGGGAGACCAGGAUUCAAAUCCCAGUUUGGCCA